rfam:Methanosphaera stadtmanae DSM 3091, complete genome.
GUAAGCUGAAGUGCAGUUAACGGUGAAUUUCACUGAGGAAACUCCAUCCACUAUAUAAAACCAUGAUGUUCUUAAUUGACAUACACUGAGAAGUGUGAUACUGAUAUAGAAACGAUACGAUAGAUCUUAAUCUGGUUUUGAAAGAUGAUACAAUUAGGUUGAUGAUGCCAAACAUAGAUAAUCGAUGAAACGAUCAAUCCAUGGAGUGCAAAAGUAAAUAUUGUCAUUUAUGGUGAUAGAGAAUAUUAUUCUCUUAGAGUUUAUGUUCUAUUGUUGUUAUAAUAUGACAAAAGGUAUCUUGCUAAGAUAAAUACUGCAAAAAACAUGAGGUGGGUUACUCUCAGCAUGC